rnacentral:rRNA from 1 species
AGUGAACGCUGGCGGUAGGCCUAACACAUGCAAGUCGAACGGCAGCACAGUAAGAGCUUGCUCUUACGGGUGGCGAGUGGCGGACGGGUGAGGAAUACAUCGGAAUCUACUUUUUCGUGGGGGAUAACGUAGGGAAACUUACGCUAAUACCGCAUACGACCUACGGGUGAAAGCAGGGGAUCUUCGGACCUUGCGCGAUUGAAUGAGCCGAUGUCGGAUUAGCUAGUUGGCGGGGUAAAGGCCCACCAAGGCGACGAUCCGUAGCUGGUCUGAGAGGAUGAACAGGCCCUGUGGAACUGAGACACGAGCCAGGCUCCUACGGGAGGCAGCAGUUGGGAAUGUUGGAAGAAGGGGGGAAGCCUGAACCAGGCAUGGCGGGUUGGUGAAGAAGGCCUGCGGGUUGUAAAGCCCUUUUGUUGGGAAAGAAAAGCAGCAGGUUAAUACCCCGCUGUUCGGACGGUACCCAAAGAAUAAGCACCGGCUAACUUCGG